UAUCUUUAUAUGUAAUAUUAGGUUGGUGCAAAAGUAAUUGCAGUUUUGGCCAUUAAAUAGGCAAAACUGCAGUUAUUUUUGCACCAAACUAACAUA
rnacentral:miRNA from 1 species